rnacentral:lncRNA from 1 species
AGGAACUUCUCGAAAUGUAUUCGAGGAUCACAAAACUAGCAAGAAACUCUAUAAAGAGUAUAAAUUAACCUAGAAUGAUUUUAGAAAAGGAAAAGAAGAAAAGAGAAAGAGAGAAGGUUGAUUUUGGUUGUGUUUUGGAAUGGAGAAAGAGUUCUCUAUUUAUAGAUCUAGGGAAGAAUAAAAUCAAUAAAAGACAAUAAAAAACAAUAAAUAAUUUGGCCGUUGCAGCACUUAAAAAUUUGACUGUUGGAAUAUUACCGUUGAGCAACGUUUCUUUUGCAAUAAUCUAACAUUAUUACAACAAUCCCCUACUUAUUGGAAAAGAAAAUUGAGAAAAAAAAACUUUUAUCCUGGGUGUCAUAGGAUGUAAUGCAUUAGAGCUGGUAUAGCAAGCUAUAUGAACCAGUCUUAGAUUGAGAAACUUAACACACAGUGUAGUUGGUAUAGCAAACUAUAUGAACCAAAGACACUUGACGUGUGUUAGAGGUUUAUCAAUCACAAU